UACAGAGGGUGCGAGCGUUGUUCGGAAUUAUUGGGCGUAAAGGGCGCGUAGGCGGUGCGGUAAGUCACCUGUGAAAUCUCCUGGCUCAACUGGGAGCUUGCAGGCGAAACUGCCGUGCUGGAGUGUGGGAGAGGUGCGUGGAAUUCCUGGUGUAGCGGUGAAAUGCGUAGAUAUCAGGAGGAACACCUGUGGCGAAAGCGGCGCACUGGACCACAACCGACGCUGAGGCGCGAAAGCUAGGGGAGCAAACAGG
rnacentral:rRNA from 1 species